rnacentral:rRNA from 1 species
UACGGGAGGCAGCAGUGGGGAAUAUUGGACAAUGGGCGCAAGCCUGAUCCAGCCAUGCCGCGUGUGUGAAGAAGGCUUUCGGGUUGUAAAGCACUUUCAGUGGGGAGGAAGGCCUCGUAGCUAAUACCUGCGAGGAUUGACGUUACCCACAGAAGAAGCACCGGUUAACUCCGUGCCAGCGACCGCGGUAAU